GGAGGCAGCAGUGGGGAAUUUUCCGCAAUGGGCGAAAGCCUGACGGAGCAAUACCGCGUGAGGGAGGAAGGCUCUUGGGUUGUAAACCUCUUUUCUCAGGGAAGAACAGAAUGACGGUACCUGAGGAAUAAGCAUCGGCUAACUCCGUGCCAGCAGCCGCGGUAAUACGGAGGAUGCAAGCGUUAUCCGGAAUGAUUGGGCGUAAAGGGUCCGCAGGUGGCAUUGUAAGUCUGCUGUUAAAGAGUUUGGCUCAACCAAAUAAGAGCAGUGGAAACUACAAAGCUAGAGUGUGGUCGGGGCAGAGGGAAUUCCUGGUGUAGCGGUGAAAUGCGUAGAUAUCAGGAAGAACACCAGUGGCGAAGGCGCUCUGCUAGGCCGAGACUGACACUGAGGGACGAAAGCUAGGGGAGCGAAUGGGAUUAGAUACCCCAGUAGUCCUAGCCGUAAACGAUGGAUACUAGGCGUAGCUCGUAUCGACC
rnacentral:rRNA from 1 species